rnacentral:rRNA from 1 species
ACGUACACUCCUACGGGAGGCAGCAGUGGGGAAUUUUGGACAAUGGGCGAAAGCCUGAUCCAGCAAUGCCGCGUGCAGGAUGAAGGCCUUUGGGUUGUAAACUGCUUUUGUACGGAACGAAAAAGCUCCUUCUAAUACAGGGGGCCCAUGACGGUACCGUAAGAAUAAGCACCGGCUAACUACGUGCCAGCAGCCGCGGUAAUACGUAGGGUGCGAGCGUUAAUCGGAAUUACUGGGCGUAAAGCGUGCGCAGGCGGUUAUGUAAGACAGAUGUGAAAUCCCCGGGCUCAACCUGGGAACUGCAUUUGUGACUGCAUGGCUAGAGUACGGUAGAGGGGGAUGGAAUUCCGCGUGUAGCAGUGAAAUGCGUAGAUAUGCGGAGGAACACCGAUGGCGAAGGCAAUCCCCUGGACCUGUACUGACGCUCAUGCACGAAAGCGUGGGGAGCAAACAGGAUUAGAAACCCGAGUAGUCCCA